GUCCCCUGCAGUCACUUCACCACCAAACAACAGGCCUGACCAAUUCACCCCAUACAGGUCGGGGAGCAUAUCGUAACCACCCGAGGCUGGCAUGAGAAGUAAACUUGACCAGACUCCCGGCUAGACUACACCAGUCUCCCAGGUGCUCAAGGCAAGCGAUGUAUUCAGCCUUCAGUAAGACAGCGCUCAGGCUCCGUGUGAAUUCACAGAGGUGCCAAGAACUCCACGGGUCCGGCAGAAAUGGUCCUGGUCUGAGCGAGCCAAGACCCACCCUGCCUGGGUUGGCCACCUUACCUGCUUUCCCUCCCUCCCAGUUUCCCAGUCCACAAACCACCGUCUGGCCUGCGUAUUUUAAUUAUUUUGCUAAUUGUGUCUCCCCCCAGUGGAAUGCAGACUCCACGAGGAUGGGUAGCUCCUUUUGUUUUAAUCGCCCCGCUGUGUCCUCCAGGCUUAGCACGGUGCCUGGCACGUAGUGGGUGGAAUAAAUGAAGUGGAUUCAGUCUUGAAUUCCCUCUUAGUAUUCAGCAUCAAGGAGUGAGGCCCUUGGAGCCCAGCAGCCUGGAUUUGUAUCUCUGCUCACUUUGCAGCUUCCUCGAAGCUGCCCCGAGCCCACAGGCCCGUUAAGGGUGUCCUCGCUGCAGGGUCUCUGUCCAAGGACUGUCGUCUCCCACUUUCCCCCCACCAAAGGCUCAAUUCCACCUUUGCCCAGGGCGGGCCCCUCGCAGCACGCUGCAACCGGGGCAAGUGGCUGAUGAGCACCUCCCCGCCUCCCAUUCCUGUCUGCGGGCCUGGGCCCCAACCCUGGCCCCAAACAGAAGAGUCGGAGCCAAACACUUCCAGCAUAUACCACCAUGGGUGAUUUAUUUAAGGGUCUCCAAAUAAUCACUUAAGUGUCACCAUGGCAACCUGAAGAGUUGCCAUGGAGAUUGGAGCAGGAAACGUCCCCAUGGAGACCCCUGGGAGACUCUCUAGGAAAUCAUUACCAGGUGGAUGGGGCUUGAGAAGGGGGAGCUGGGCACAUGAGGGAGCCCCACGGUUCUGUGUACUGGCAGGAGGAGGGGGUGAAAGGGCAGGGUGGGAAAGACCAGCCUGGGAAGGCGGGCAAGUUAAUGAUCUCCACCAAGUCUAAGGUCCCGUGUGAUAAAGAACUACCGUAUGCACAGAAUCCAUCUGACGGGAAAGUCGGGAAACUAGAAACUUUGGUGGCCCCAAAGAAGGGGGUGAGGGAGAGAGACUUAUUCGUCAUGUGUGCUCCUUUGUGUACUGUCGGACUUUGUUUUGUCAGGUAAUCUCUACACCCAACAUGGGGCUUGAACUUGCAACCCUGAGAUCAAGAGUCACAUACUCCCAUCGACUGAGCCCGCCAGGUGCACAACAUAAUGAUUCAAUAUUUGUGUACAUGGAAAAUGAUCACCACAGUAAGUCUAGCUAACAUCUGUCACCAUGCAUAAUCAUAAAACUUUUUUUCUACUUGUGAUGAAAACUUUUAAAAUCUACUCUCUUAGCAAUUGUCAGACAUACAGUACAAUAUUGUUAGCUACAGUCACCAUGCUGGGCACACACUACCUUUCCUAGGACAAUUAUCCCCCGAUCUGUUGGCCUCACCAUACCUGAAUAAAAAUGAGGUCUAUGUUUUGUUGGGUUUUUUUAAAUUUUUUUUUUUUAACAUUUAUUUAUUUUUGAGACAGAGAGAGAA